AGUCUUAAGAAACUAUUUAAGAUAAUGCCUGCCCAGUGCUUGUAGUAAACGGCCGCAGUACCUUGACUGUGCUAAGGUAGCAUAAUCAAUUGGCUUUUAAAUGGAGUCGGGAAUGAAUGGAUUUAUAGGGCACCGCUGUCUCCUAUAUACUUUAUUGAACUUACUAAUUAGGUGAAAAUGCCUAAAACUAGAAAAAAGACGAGAAGACCCUAGGAGUUUUGACAAAUUUUUAAAUAAUUUAACUACUGUUUUUGUUGGGGCGACAAAGGAUUAAAUAUACAACUUCCUUUAAUCAAUUUGCCGACUUUGUAUGUGAAAUUAAACUACCCUAGGGAUAACAGCGUAAUUCUUUUAGAGCUUGCGACCUCGAUGUUGGACUAGGAAUUGUUUGGCUAGCCGCCAAUUUGCAUUGUUCUG
rnacentral:rRNA from 1 species